rnacentral:rRNA from 1 species
GUGAGGAAUACAUCGGAAUCUACCUUUUCGUGGGGGAUAACGUAGGGAAACUUACGCUAAUACCGCAUACGACCUUCGGGUGAAAGCAGGGGACCUUCGGGCCUUGCGCGGAUAGAUGAGCCGAUGUCGGAUUAGCUAGUUGGCGGGGUAAAGGCCCACCAAGGCGACGAUCCGUAGCUGGUCUGAGAGGAUGAUCAGCCACACUGGAACUGAGACACGGUCCAGACUCCUACGGGAGGCAGCAGUGGGGAAUAUUGGACAAUGGGCGCAAGCCUGAUCCAGCCAUA